rnacentral:rRNA from 1 species
AUUGAACGCUGGCGGCAUGCUCUACACAUGCAAGUCGAACGGUAACAGGCCGCAAGGUGCUGACGAGUGGCGAACGGGUGAGUAAUGCAUCGGAACGUGCCCAGUCGUGGGGGAUAACGCAGCGAAAGCUGCGCUAAUACCGCAUACGAUCUAUGGAUGAAAGCGGGGGACCGUAAGGCCUCGCGCGAUUGGAGCGGCCGAUGUCAGAUUAGGUAGUUGGUGGGGUAAAGGCUCACCAAGCCAACGAUCUGUAGCUGGUCUGAGAGGACGACCAGCCACACUGGGACUGAGACACGGCCCAGACUCCUACGGGAGGCAGCAGUGGGGAAUUUUGGACAAUGGGCGCAAGCCUGAUCCAGCAAUGCCGCGUGCAGGAAGAAGGCCUUCGGGUUGUAAACUGCUUUUGUACGGAACGAAACGGUCCUGGUUAAUACCUGGGGCUAAUGACGGUACCGUAAGAAUAAGCACCGGCUAACUACGUGCCAGCCGCCGCAGUAAAAC